rnacentral:rRNA from 1 species
UACGUAGGGUGCGAGCGUUAAUCGGAAUUACUGGGCGUAAAGCGUGCGCAGGCGGUUCGUUGUGUCGGUGGUGAAAGCCCCAGGGCUUAACCUGGGAAUGGCCAUGGAAACUGGCGAACUGGAGUGUGGCAGAGGGGGGUGGAAUUCCGCGUGUAGCAGUGAAAUGCGUAGAGAUGCGGAGGAACACCGAUGGCGAAGGCAGCCCCCUGGGCUAGCAUCUGACGCUCAGGCACGAAAGCGUGGGGAGCAAACAGG